ACCCUUUUUUUUUUGGCGGAAAACCCACAAGAUAAACCCUUUCGGCGCCCCCACUCGUCGUCCGCGCCGUCUACUCGUCGGCAACCCAUUCGGCGACAUGCCGCCGCCGGCGCCGCUCUUCCUCUCGCUCCCCUCGCUUCCCCAACCACUCCUGCCUGUCCACCACCGCAAGGCCCCGCAUGCCCUAAACCUUAAUCUGCCCCUCACCUCAUCCAGGAAACCCGCCCUUCCCGCGCGCCCCGUCGCCUCCCUCGCGCCAGCUGUGACCACACGCCAGUAUGACUGGACGCGCAAGCAGAGAAUACGGAGGCAGGGUGGUCUAUCUCGUAGAUAUUCAAAAAUUGUGUCCUAUUACGGGCUCACAACUCCACCAUAUAAACUGGAUGCUCUGGAACCAUAUAUGAGCAGGAGAACAGUUGAACUUCAUUGGGGUAAACACCAUCAGGAUUAUGUGGAGGGCUUAAAUAAGCAGCUUGCUAGCAGCCCGCUGUAUGGAUACACUCUGGAGGAGCUGAUAAAAGAAGCGUACAACAAUGGCAAUCCAUUACCAGAAUAUAAUAAUGCAGCCCAGGUCUGGAACCAUCACUUCUUCUGGGAAUCUAUGCAACCAGAAGGUGGUGGCUUACCUGAGGGAGGUGUUUUGCAGCAGAUUGAAAAGGAUUUUGGCUCGUUUACUAAUUUCAGGGAAGAGUUUAUUUCCUCAGCCUCACAACUAUUGGGGUCUGGUUGGGUUUGGCUUGUCUUGAAGAGAAAUGAGAGAAAGCUUUCGGUGGUUCACACAAGAAAUGCCAUCUCCCCAUUUGCUUUUGGCGAUAUUCCAAUUGCCAGCCUAGACUUAUGGGAGCAUGCUUACUACUUAGACUACAAGGAUGAUAGGCGGACAUAUAUUACAAACUUUAUGGACCAUCUCAUCUCUUGGGACACUGUCACUCUGCGCAUGAUGCGUGCUGAGUCUUUUGUGAACCUUGGUGAGCCAAAUAUCCCAGUGGCAUGAGAUGCAGAUACACCCUGGUUAUCAGGUCAGGAUUCAGGACUUUGAAGCAGCCUGGUAAAUGUGCAGCUUAAUCAUGUAACUAGACACAUGAAAUGAAGGUGCCAUUAGUUUCUGCAGUAACGGAAACACUCAAUCCAGAACAUCCAUAGAUUAUGUAUCCUGCGAAGAUUUCAGGUCAAAUCCUGCAGGAGCAAGCAGAAAGUUGGAAAAGCUGCAUAAGAGUUGCCUAUCUCCCUAUUGCCGUAUAGAUGAUGAACUUAAAGAUAAGCUUCUGGGUUUUCACCAUUGCCCUUGGGCCUUGGCUAUUGCUACAAAGAAGUCAGCAUCCAAUUUCAAGACAUGCAAACAGAGCAGCUUUAGAUACUUGGGACUUGGGACUUGGGAGCAUGUAGAUUAUGGUGUUGGGCAAGGUCCAACUUGGGCUCUGAAGCCAUGGCAUUUCCUCUAGGCGGCUAUUCUUCAGAACGAGCGCCCAGACUGCAGUAGAUUCAGCUCUAAGUUUUCAGGACUUUGUUAUGCCAGCGUUUUGUUGUAGCGGAAUGGAACCGUGUUUUGUUUUACUGGUUGAGGAAUCCUAAUAAUUUUGGAUUGUAGGGAAACCUUUUAUGUGUUAGACACUGCAAGUGUGAAUCUUAGUAGAAAGAAGUUGACUUUGCAGAUUGGAAUA